rnacentral:misc_RNA from 1 species
ACAAGAACCCGGAAAUGUAAAGAUUCACAGGCUUUUCAAUUUCAGUGUAAUUGAGUGAUUGCUUGAUGUGACAGUGACAAUGCCAUUCCGUGACCACUUUAGAAUAAGAAAUUUUGGUUUUGGGUACCACAGAUAUGAAGCCUUUUGUCAAGCACAGUGGCAGUGGCCUCUAGCUGUAUUCAUAACUUAUCGACUUGUAGUAGGUGGCUAUGUGCUAUUCUGGCUUAUUUACACAGCUUCAAGACAUCACCUUGCGAACCCUACACAACCCUGGCCUGUCUGGCUAACCAAUUGGUCAUAUUUCCUACUUACCUGUCACAUGGUGCUUGCCGCCAUCAUCGCUGUUGCCCAUGGAUUCAGAAAUCGGGGGUCAUAUUGUCAAAUACCUGGUGAGGAUAGCCCAGAGCAAGAGUCACACGAGAAGGAAGGGUUACGUUCACAAUCUGCUCCUGAGGAUAUCUUGGGUUUUGAGUCAAGUGGUUUAACCAAAAGUGAUGAACAAUCCGGAGAAACAGUUGUUAUAACCCCGAUCGAAUCUAGUAUUCCAUGGUAUUUUGCUCUUGAUUGGUUGAUAUAUACAAUAAUUGCAAACUUUGCCAUUAUCGUGACAUUAUCAUAUUUUAUAUUUCUGUGGCCUCUCGUUUCAAAAUAUAAUAAUCUCGAUGUCCCCACCAUUGGAGAUCUGAAUUUACAUGGGAUAAAUUCUGUCGUCAUUUUUCUCGAGAUCUGCAUAAAUGGGAUCCCAGUACGUCUUCUACACAUAAUAUACCCAACAAUAUAUGGUUUAACAUAUAUCAUAUUCAGUGCCAUCUAUUGGAGUUUCGAUCCUGUUCACAAUGUACUUUACCCGAAAAUCUUGGAUUGGAAUCAUCCCGGGACAACACUCAUGUUUCUGGCAUUAUUGGCCUUCGUAGUCAUCCCAGUGAUUCAAUUGGUGUUAUUUGGACUAUUUAAACUGAAAGUAUUCAUCAGCAAUAAGCUGGAUGCUAGAACGAGAGACCAGGAAAUAACCAGGGAGGAACGAUAAUCAACAGAAACAUGUUCGCUCAGAGAGCAAAUCACGGGUCAGAUUUAAGUCUCAUUUUACUAUGCACCAACGAUAAUGCACUAAAUGUACGAUAAUCAUGUGGACAUUACCAAUGAAUAUAUUCUCCCAUCAAGCCCAUGUGUAAUCUUCCAAUAAUAUACACCUACACAGGCUAGGGCAAAAGUUGAUUGGAAAGGGGCCAAAGACUUGAUGCAAGCCUAUAUAUUAUAUACAGUGUACAAACAUAAAAUGCAUUUAUAACACCUGCUGUAUCCGACUAUUUUGUACCAAGUGGUACUGAAUUCAUACCUAUUAUUCAUGGUGCUGAAACAGUACAAAUGCAGAUUGUCUGUUUGGUAGUGUACAUCAUUAUCAAACCUAAAUGUGCUGGAAUUAUCACGAUACAAAGUAUGCAAGACAAACAUAGCAAGUCUUUGGCUAUAUGUUCAAUUAAAGUGAUAUGGUACCAUUCUAAUACAUAGACUGAUAGGGGCUGUGGAACUCACAAUGUUAUUAUGGUAUUGACUAACUCCGAAUAAUAUUAACAAUAUACAAUGCAUACAGGUAAAAGCAGUGAUCUUUCCAUCAUUGGAGCAACUGGGUUCUGCAACAUGUUGAAACUCGAUACAGGCUGAGACUAACAUAAAAAUUUUUAUGUUAGUCUCAGAUACAGGAGUUCACUAUUAACGUAAACUUGAUAGAGUCAGAUGAUAAUGGGACAGACUCACCAGUAUUCCUGUGCCCCCUUUGUCUCGAACUUAAAGGGGGUGGCAGAUAAAUGGUGUCUGGUAAAUAUUCACUUAAAGAUUGGUGGUUUACAUCAUGUGGCUCUAACCUGAUAGACUGAUAGUACGAAAGUCAUUCCAAUUUGUUUAAAUUAUGAGUUGUGGUACAGGUUUAACAAUCUGAAUGAACAUCAGCCUUUCUCAAUGACCACUUGGAAAGAUGUUUUUGCAUUUUACAUUGAUAAGACCUUAUCAUAUGGAUAAAAUGAGACAACUUUAUUUUAUGCAGGGAUACCUUUCUUCCUUGUUUCUACAUUUUAAUACUUUUAUAUAAAAGUAUUUCCUGACCAAUAAUUUUUUGGACCAUGUAAAUACUGUUAUACAGUUUGAAGAAAAUUUAUAUAGUCUGAAUUUAGUAAACCAUGUCAUACUUUCUAGAUCUGCAUUGGGAUAAAAAGCCAUAUUUUUUACUGAUUUAAAUUUUGUAUAUUACAUGUAUUAUACUUUUAUGUGAAGAAUAUCAAUAUCAAUUACAAAUGUAUAUUUUGAAUAUCAUAUUUCUACUGUAGUUUUGUAUUUAUGCUUGUCUUUGAUAUACUCUGCACUUGUGUAAUUAUUUGAUAUUCUAAUAUGAUAUUCACCUGCUUUUAUUCCAUGACAGUCUUCAUAGAUUAUCACUUGUGAAAGGUGCACAUAUAUUGACCUCAAUAGAAUGAAAUAUUUGUUUUAUUAUAUGAGAGGAAAAUAUGGGAGAAGAAAUCUUGCUGGAG